CGGUAAUACGGAGGGUGCGAGCGUUAAUCGGAAUUACUGGGCGUAAAGCGCAUGCAGGUGGUUUGUUAAGUCAGAUGUGAAAGACCCGGGGCGUCAACCUACGGAAUAGCAUUUGUAAACUAGGCAGACUAGAGUACUGUAGAGGGGGGUAGGAAUUUCAGGUGUAGCGGUGAAAUAGCGUAGAGAUCUGAAGGAAUACCGGUGGCGAAGGCGGCCCCCUCGGACAGAUACUGACACUCAGAUGCGAAAGCGUGGGGAGCAAACAGGAUUAGAUACCCUGGUAG
rnacentral:rRNA from 1 species